UUGCCAGCCCGCUCAAGAACUCAAAGGAAUUGACGGGGCCCGCACAAGCGGAGGAGCAUGUGGUUUAAUUCGAUGAUACGCGAGGAACCUUACCUGGGCUCGAACGUAAGAUGACUGUAGGUGAAAGCUUACAUCUCUUCGGAGCAUUUUACGAGGUGCUGCAUGGUUGUCGUCAGCUCGUGCCGUGAGGUGUCGGGUUAAGUCCCAUAACGAGCGCAACCCCUACCUUUAGUUGCCAUCAGGUUAAGCUGGGGACUCUAAAGGAACUGCCUACGCAAGUAGUGAGGAAGGCGGGGAUGACGUCAAAUCAGCACGGCCCUUACGUCCAGGGCUACACACGUGCUACAAUGGCCGAUACAGAGGGCAGCUACCUGGUGACAGGAUGCAAAUCUCCAAAGUCGGUCUCAGUUCGGAUCGGAGUCUGCAACCCGACUCCGUGAAGUUGGAUUCGCUAGUAAUCGCGCAUCAGCCAUGGCGCGGUGAAUACGUUCCCGGGCCUU
rnacentral:rRNA from 1 species